rnacentral:rRNA from 1 species
CGCAAGGUGGACAGCAUGCCUUGUAAAUUCUGCUCAGUGACAUAAUUGUUUAACAGCAGCGGUAUUUUGACCGUUCAAAGGUAGCAUAAUAAGUUUAGUAAUUGUAAACCUGUCAAUGGGACCAUGGGUUUACUUUUAUAAAAGUUUAAGGUAAAAGAAAUUAGAAUAAAAGUAAAAACCCUUUUAAUAUUCUAAAAGACGAUAAGACCCUAGAAUUUUUUAUUUAAAUUUAGGUGGGGAAUCUAAGAUCAAUAAACAAUCUUGAGUAAAAAUACUCUAGGGAUAACAGCUUUAUUUUAAAAAAUUUUUAAAGGUUAAGACCUCGAUGUUGAAUUAAGAAAUUAAUCUCCCAGAAGGAAAUUAUUCUAGGUCUGUUCGACCUUCACCUCUU